AGCGAACGCUGGCGGCAGGCCUAACACAUGCAAGUCGAACGAACUCUUCGGAGUUAGUGGCGGACGGGUGCGUAACACGUGGGAACGUGCCUUUAGGUUCGGAAUAACUCAGGGAAACUUGUGCUAAUACCGAAUGUGCCCUUCGGGGGAAAGAUUUAUCGCCUUUAGAGCGGCCCGCGUCUGAUUAGCUAGUUGGUAGGGUAAAGGCUCACCAAGGCGACGAUCAGUAGCUGGUCUGAGAGGAUGAUCAGCCACAUUGGGACUGAGACACGGCCCAGACUCCUACGGGAGGCAGCAGUGGGGAAUCUUGCGCAAUGGGCGAAAGCCUGACCCAGCCAUGCCGCGUGAAUGAUGAAGGUCUUAGGAUUGUAAAGUUCUUUUACCCGGGAUGAUAAUGACGGUACCCGGAGAAGAAGCCCCGGCUAACUUCGUG
rnacentral:rRNA from 1 species